rnacentral:rRNA from 1 species
CCUACGGGCGGCAGCAGUGGGGAAUAUUGGACAAUGGGCGAAAGCCUGAUCCAGCCAUGCCGCGUGUGUGAAGAAGGCCUUCGGGUUGUAAAGCGCUUUCAGUGGGGAAGAAAGCCUUGGGGCUAAUACCCUCGAGGAAGGACAUCACCCACAGAAGAAGCACCGGCUAACUCCGUGCCAGCAGCCGCGGUAAUACGGAGGGGUGCGAGCGUUAAUCGGAAUUACUGGGCGUAAAGCGCGCGUAGGCGGUCUGAUAAGCCGGUUGUGAAAGCCCCGGGCUCAACCUGGGAACGGCAUCCGGAACUGUCAGGCUAGAGUGCAGGAGAGGAAGGUAGAAUUCCCGGUGUAGCGGUGAAAUGCGUAGAGAUCGGGAGGAAUACCAGUGGCGAAGGCGGCCUUCUGGACUGACACUGACGCUGAGGUGCGAAAGCGUGGGUAGCAAACAGGAUUAGAUACCCUGGUAGUC